rnacentral:lncRNA from 1 species
UUUCAGGUGAAUUGUCCAUUAAAUUUUUGCAAAGCUUGAAGGCAAUGAUGUAGUUAACAAAUGACGACAAAGCUAAGCUGGAUUACAUUGGAGAGAAUUAUUAUCAAGAUUCAGUGACAAUUUUCAACAAAGGGAUUGAAAUGUUCUACCAAAAAGUCUUGACAAUUCUUACUUGUCUCGACCUUUCCAACAAUAGUUUCCAUGGGACAAUACCAGAAGAAAUACAAAUGCUGAGGUCACUUAAAGUGCUAAACUUGUCCUAUAAUAGCUUCUCCGGUGAAAUCCCAGUAGCACUUGAAAACCUAAAAGAUCUCGAGUCUUUGGAUCUCUCACAGAAUGAGCUGUCAGGGAAGAUUCCUCCACAGCUUACAAGUUUAACUUUCUUAGCAGUAUUGAACUUGUCUUCCAACCAACUUGAAGGGAGCAUACCACAAAGCAACCAAUUCAUUACAUUUUCAAAUGAUUCCUACCGUGGGAACCCAAAAUUGUGUGGGCUGCCACAGUUAAGAAAAUGCAAUGAAGUUGGUCUUCCAAUGCCACCACCUCCACGGGGAGAUGAAGAAUCAUGGUUAUAUGCUAUGUCUACUUGGAAAAUUGCGUUGAUAGGUUAUGCUAGUGGAUUGGUCGUUGGGCUAUGCAUCGGAUAUACAGGGCUGAAUGAGUUGGGAAACAAAUGGGUUGACAGGCUCAAAAAACAUGGGAAAAGAAACAAAAGAAGAUGUAGGUGACUCCAUCAGAAUUCAUUUUUUUUCAAAAUCAGCGGGUAUGCACCACCUUAUUUCUAUUUUAUCUGUGGACAAAUUUAACUAUCAUAUGGUAUUUGUACUUGUAGCUUGUAACAUUGUCAUUCGUUUUUCAGUCUCUUCUAAUUUUAUGUUACCAUUUCGCAAUGCAGAAGGUACUUAAAACAGACAAGCUCAAGCAAAAAUCUUUGAUGAAAAUGGUAAAGGUGUCUAACAAAUAUGAGCAUAUUUUUCCUUAAAAUUGUCUUUUCCUUGACAUUCGCUUUAUAUUUUAUCAAACACAUGUUGGGCUUUAGGUUCGGGUGUAAAGGGUGGACCUAUUGGUUCGGGUUUUAGUGCAGUCCGACACUUGUUUUCAUACUAGUCAAUUUGUUCUUUCAAUGAUAGUUUUAUUUCUUUAAAAAAUACCAUUCAAUUAGACCUUGUAUGUAAUAAUAUGAUAAAAUAAUAAUUAAAACAUAAUGAAAGAAAUAAGUCUUAGAAUCCGAUAUGCUUUCCAAUGUUAGCCAAAGGCCAACAAUAUCUCAUACUAUUAUUUUUUUUUUGUUAGUAAAAUUAAAAAUUUAUUUACAGUUCAAGGAUUUAAUUAAAAUUUUUUAAAGUUUAGAUCCAUAGUUUAGGGACAUCAAAUGAAUUAACCCUUUAGUAAAUCUUAACAUAUUUAUAAGUUGGAUCCUCAUUAAUAAACCCGGACUAAAAAAUACGCAUAGUUAAUUUAUGCUUUUGGGGUGCUAUACCAAAGUUUAAUUAAAAGAUUUUAAUGGUACAUUUUUAUAUUUAAAAAUAAUAAAUUAUAUAGGAACAAUUAUGAUAUAAAAUGGAUCAUAAUUUGCGAUAGAUUAAUCCGAAUCUAAAAUAUUUUUCAGCAUCAAAUAAAAGGAAAAAAAUUCCAAACCCAAAUAUUGCUAUAAUUUUAUUCCUACUUCAUUUGCUAAUUUGAGCAAUUUGGUCCUCAGGACAACAGGCUUUUUGGUCCCAUUCCUGAAGAAUUAAGAAGCUUGAAAUUAUUGAUUUUUCUAGAGUUGACUCAAUGGUUGUAUUCCAACUUCAUUUGCUAAUUUGAUACCCGUCCCAUACCUCAAGAAAUAGCUAACUUCGUGAAAAUACGGAUGCUGAAUCUACUUGGAAAUAGCUUCAGUGGAAGCUUACCAAAAUUUUCAACAGCAACCCAACUACGGUUGGUAAAAGUUAGAAGGGAGAUUACGAAGAUCAUGGGUGAAAUGCAUUCAUCUUAGAACUUAUACGUGUUGGUUGUUAAACCUCGACAAACCAGCAAAUACCAUAAUUUUUGUUCUUAUCGUCCAUUGCAGCACCUAAACAGCUUCAAUUGUUUUAUCAAACGUUUCUUCCCUUGUUUUUACUGACUCCUUUUUUUCAGCCGCUGAAACAAAAUGGUAGCUUCUUUAGGAACAGAAAGGAACAAGAUUUUGAUACCCAAUGAAGAGAAACAAAGAUGAAAUCUUUCUAAGACUCUAUGAAAAGUAAAAGGUUAAAAAAGGAGUCUCAUCUAACGCAUUUUCUUAUACAUUCUUUCUAGGAUUCUAGCUAGGAAGAGAUAAGAAAAAUAAGUAAAUGAAAAAUGGGAAUGAAUUUCGUUAAAAAAAUAGCAUUCGUAUAUAAAAUCAGUAUUUUACUAAUAAAAAAAAGCCCAUUUCAAACUAAAAUAAAUUAAUUAAAUGUAUCGGAUUUUCAGUUUUAUUGCAUUACAUUUUAUAUAAUUUAAAAAAAAGUCUAAAUUAUUAUUUGCCUGAAACCCAAAAAUAUUAAGAAUCGGCCUGAAAAUUAGUAGAACAUAAUUAAGUAAUGACUGGACAAUAGGAAUCAUUUGCAAGUAUGCAUGCCAAGACUAAGUCAAAGACUCCAUUUGAUAAAAACCCAUGCAUUCUAUCGUUUCUUUGUUAGUCCUACACUAAAAACAUAUAAUUUCCUAAUUAGAAAAUAAAUCUAUUAGCUUUGUCUCUAAAUACAUUGUGUUCUUCUACUCUCAAUGUCGAGCUUUGGAGGGAUUCCAAAUUACUUAGAGAAUAAGUUUUCAAUGGAUUGUGCUUGAGAUGAAUAAUAUGGCUACAAUCUAAUUGAUUUAAGAUGAUCAGUUGAGUUCCACCAUUCAACUGUGUUACGAAUUAUUAAAAAAUUUAUUCAACAUCUUUAGAUGAUUAGGGUGACACAUGUAUUCAAAUAGGGUAAUUGAGUAGUUGAUGGACCAGAAGCAAUGAUAUUUUCAAGGUGUCUAGGCAUGUAUAGCUAUACGCAACCGGCCUUGGAUAAAAUUCUUCAAAAAUUAUAUGAUUAUUGCUCUAGAAUAACUUGACCCUACUUAAUCCAAUUAUGAUUUUAUCUUUGUUCAUUAAAAAAAAGAAAGAUAGUAAAUUUAAAUAAUUGAAGAGAAAAUAAAAAUUAAUUAUGUAAAUCACCUAUAAAAAGAAUUAAUUUUGUACUUAAAAAACUAUAUGCUCGUUGCGUUUCAACUGGUUGGACAAACUUUGAAAGUGUAAAGGAUUGAAAAGUAGCUAAAUUAUAAGACAUUUCAACUAAUCUGUGAUCAUCAUUUUCAAUCAACGUCCCAAAAUAUAAAUUUUGGAAUUUUUAUGAAUAUUUUAAAUUUUUGUUGAGAGAUAAAUUUUUUAAGUUUCAAAAUUAAUAGGGAUCAAAUGAGUAUGUAUACUAAUUUGUUGUAUGAAUUAUUUAAAUUAUUCGAGUUAUUCAAAUUUUAAAAUUUAACUAAAAACUUGACUUAUAAACAUUUUAUAUUUUAUAUUUAAUAAUAUAAAACAUAAAAAUAUUUAAAUUAAAUAAUAAUUUAAUAAAAAUGUAAAAAUGAAAGUCUUUCUCUAAACUUCACCCAAAAACACUUUAAGAAAAUUUUCACUCCUUGUGUCCAUCAAUCCAUCUCAACCAACUAACAAAUUUACUAUAAUUUUGUCUUUAUAAUGUGACUUCACUUGUGCACAAUGGUUGAACGUUGUUUUUGUGCAAUCAAAAUUUGGACGUUUGUAUGCAAUGCCAAAGACUUAAGAUAUUUCAUACUAUCAUUUUUUUCGAUCCAAAAUUAAAGAUGUGACAUCCAUGUGACAAUUCAUGUGUAUGCCACAUUAGUAAAGUUAAAAAAUUGUUAACAUUUCUAUCCAUUAUGGGGGAUUUGAUAAAAAUACAAGUUUAAAGAUUAAAAAACAUAAAAAAAUAAUAAAUGAAUGACUAAAAUAACUUUUUUUGUAAAACUGGAGGCCAAAUAAGUCAUUACGACAAAAAAAUUAAAAAAGUAUUUUCUCCUCCAAAAGUAGAAUCUGAAGUUAAGUGAAUAUUAAAUAAUAAUAUUUGCAGACUCGAAAAUAAAAAAUGUAACGCCCCGUACCCGAGACCGUUGCCGGAGUCGAACACGAGGUGUUAACGGACUUAAUUCAUUACUUAAACAGCUCAUACAAUUCAUUUUAAAAUUUCCAAACAAGCUGGCUAACUGCAUCACAGUCGCUUUAAAAAUCAUAUCUCGAGUUCUGAAACUCGAAAUCCAAUUUCGAAAAUUUUUCCUGAAACUAGACUCAUAUAUAUAUCUACUAAUUUUUUUCUAGAAUUUUUGGUCGGGCCAAUUAGUACAGUUUAUUAGUUAAAGUCUCCCCUGUUUCAGGGUUCGACUACUCUGACCUCUGUGUAUUACGAAUCAGAUAUCUCCCUGUACAGAGAUUCAAUGACUAUGCUGUUUGUCUCUAAUAAAACUAGACUCAAUAAGGAAUCUGUACAUAUAAAUCAUGAAUUCUAAUUAUCUUUGUAAAAUUUAUGGUGAAUUUCCCAAGUCAGAACAGGGGAUCCAGAAAUCGCUCUGGCCCUAUCUCACAAAAAUUUAAACAUCUCAUAAAAUAUAGCUCAUAUACCUGUUUCGCUUCUUCCAUAUGAAAAUAGACUCAUCAAGAUUCGAUUCCAUAACUUAUUCAUCAUCUAAUUGUAUCUAUAAUAUUUUUAGUGAUUUUUCAAACUCACGUCACUGCUACUGUCUGAAUCUAUUUUAUGGUAAAUUUUACCUAUUUCAUGGUUUCCAUGGAUUAGCUAGCAAUUUGACAUACAUAACACCAAAUAUGAUCAUGAUUAGCCAUUCCAAUGGCUAAUCAUUACCAAGCAUUUCCAUACCACUCAAUAACCAUAUCAUAAGACCAUAUACACAAAAUGAUUAUAAUGCUAUACAUGCCAUACUCAAAAUAUACAAGCCAUUAUGCCAAGAUGGUAUACGGAUAGUGUGAGUGUGCCUCCGACCAUUCCCGAUUUCCGAGCUGGCUUGUCAACACUACAAGGAAUGAAAAGGAGGGAGUAAGCAUAAAUGCUUAAUAAGUUCAUAUGCAAAUAGCAAGUAUCAUAACCAUAUAAGCAAACAUAAAACAUCAUUUGCAUAAUCAUCACCAAGACAUUCAUAUCACAUUUUCAUUUAUCAUCUUACCAUAUUGUUGUUAUAUCGAUUUUUCAACUCGAGGGUUAAGUACAUACCUGUUCAAAGUACCCAUUUCACAACACUUACCAAUACGUCCCUUUCAUCUUGAGUAUUCCUCCAUUUUAGUAGAACUUUACCCGUUGAACACAUCGGAAUAUAAUUCGGAUACAUGGAAAGUUUGCACAUAAGUGCCACAUAUGUAGCCAAGCUACCAUGUAACCCGCUCAUAAGUGAACUCGGACUCAACUCAACGAGCUUGGGCGUUCGCAUCCAUAAGUGAACUCGGACUCAACUCAACGAGCUCGGAUGCCUAGUUACAUCUCUCGAACUCAGACUCAACUCAACGAGUUCGGACGCUCGCAUCCAUAAGUGAACUCGGACUCAACUCAACGAGUUCGGAUGCCCAAAUAUCCCAGUGACAUGUCACUUGUAUCCUAAUCCAUUCCUAAGGUUCAACGGGACAUUUUUCCCAAUCAUGUGUCUCAACCAUCUUCUAUGAAAUGUCGAUACCGAUACUCGGUAGUAUUUCACAUUUUCCAAGUAUAUCACAUAAUUUGACAUAUUAUCAAACAAUUGUCACAAGUAUGAUAUUUCAUAAUAAUUAUCAUAUCAUUUAAAUAACAUUAAAACAUUUAAAACAAUAACUAUGUUACCAACAUUUACAUAUGAACUUACCACGUAUGCGAAAAAGGCCACUUUUACUAUUUCGUCCACAACUUGGUAUUUUCCCCAUUUUAGCCCGAGUUUCAGUUUUCCUUGCUAAUCGAGCUUGGAAGCUUGAAAAACCCUAGCCAUGGUUUCUCCUUGCUAUAUUCGGCCAUGGGGUUGAAGAUGAGCAAAAUUGGCUUUUAAUUUUGUAUUUUAAUUCAUUUUAUCCCUAAAUGACCAAAAUGCCCUUACUACUAAACUUUCCAAAAAUUCCAUCCAUGUCCAAUUUUUGUCCAUAGACUUAGAAAUUGGUAAAAUUUCUAUUUAAGACCUCAUAAUUAAUAUUUCAAAACAAUUUCAUACUAGAAACUUCUAGAAUGCAAGUUUUACAAAUUAUUCGAUUUAGUCCCUAAUUUCAAUUUAAGCACUUUAUGCAUAAAAUUUCUUCACGAAAUUUUCACACAAUCAUGCAAUCAUAUCAUAGACCUCAAAAUAAUCAUAAAAUAAUUAUUUCUAUCUCGGAUUUUAUGGUCACAAAAUCGCUAUUCCGACUAGGCCCAAAAUCAGGAUAUUACAAAAAAUGUAUGAAAUUUAUUGUUGUUAAAUAAAUUUAUUGUUUAAUAAUUACUUUUGUUUUGGCCAUUGGGAAAAUUUACUAGCCCUUAUAAUAUAUAUAUCCAUAUUAUUGGAUGUGCUUCUUUUAUUCAAUUGCAUUGCCUAAGGUUGCUUAUUGCGAUUAUGGUAACUUGAUGUAUCAUCCCCUGACUAAUUCUUCUUAUUUUCAGUGUUAGAAUCCUCCUCUUUAAAAUUUGGGUUUCAUGUUGCUUUUUGAGCAUCACUAUACCAUUCUCCUCUUAAACACGUCGAAAAAUCCAGUAGGAGCUUCUACUUCCGAUUCUGGAGAAGUUGCCUCCCUUGAACUCAACAAAACCCUAUCGGCUUCCGGAGAUGCUACCUCAUCAAAAGCCUUCUCCACCUGUCCUACUACGAAUUGGAUUGAGAACACCAAAGCCAAUGGGAACACAACCAAAAAAACCUUCGGCAUCUUUUUUAUUUUCUAAAAAGGUUAAGAAAUAAGUAAAGAUAUAUUUUUAUUUAUGCUUAAGGAUGAAAAUGAGAUAAAAAUUAAAGAGUUUAAAAUGAGAUGUUUUGGGUGAAUUUAUGGGUCGUUGACUAGUCCGCUGCCUAAUAGUCAUAACAACAAAAAUACAUAUAACUUCUCUCCCCAUUUUCAAUGGCCAUGUUUAUCACUAUUAUUGUUGGGUUCAAUUUACUUCACUUUGCUUGACUCAAAGACGUUGUGGGUGAUCGAUGAUGUGUUUUAAAAUCAUUCUGACCUUCUCUAUUUACAUCACCUGUACCAAUCAAAAACACUCAUCCUUUUAUAGUUUAAUGUAUUUUCCAUGAAACAACUUUGAACAUCAAGCAAAAUCUAAAUAACUUUCUUCUUCUAUAUCGGUACUAACUGUUAAAUUACCUUGGAUUUAAAGUAUGUUCUUCUACUUGUCUAUGGUUAUCGAUCAUAGUACCGAUUGUCAAAUCGUCGCUUGGAGCUUGCUACCUAGGCUUUUCAAAAGAAAAAAAAUAUUAACAGCCAAAUGACCAGGCCCGUUCUUGGCAUUUUUGGGGCCCUAGGCGAAUCAAUAAAUUGGGGCCCCAGAUUAUAAGAUGUAAUACAAUAUAACAAAAAAAAUUGGGGCCUUUUUUUUUUGUAUGCAAUAAAUCAGAAGAUUUAAAAGGUUGAAGAUUUUUAUUUGAGACCCUUACAGCCCUGGUGAUUACACUCUGAAACUACCCUCAGGGUCGAGCCUGCAAGUGACGUAAAUAAAAAUCUUCUGAAUAGUUCAGUAAUCAUUUUUAAAGUCAAGUAAAUAAUUAACCGUAAUUCUUCAGAAAAAUAUUUGAACAUAAAAUUUAUGAAUUUUUCUAUAAUACAUUAUUACAUUUUUUUCACAUUUUCAAUAGUUAUAUAUACAAUGAUAAAAUGAUAAUUUAAUCUCGUGGAGUGGGGAAAGGUAAUAAAUUACCAUAAUGGCUCCAUACUUGCUAUUUUUUAAAAAAAAAAUCCACCUCGCCCUGCUCUACACCCACUUUUGAAAAAAAAUCCUCUUUAUCUGUAGUGGAUUGAUUCGGAAUCCAUAGAGUGGUUCGGGUCUUACCAUCCCUAGUUACACAUCUAUACUAUUAUUUUAAUCUUAUUGGAACCAAUCUCAUUGCCCAACCAAAAGGACCCAAAAGGCUUUAAAUGAUAACAACAACAAUGGUAUAGAUAAAUGGAUUUAUACGUGAAUGUAGUUUUUUUAAAGAAAACUGAAAGUGACAAUAUAAGUGCUAUAUUCCUAUCUAACAUAACUCAUCUUGUCAAUUGAGUUUUAGUUCGAUUAGUAUCAUUGCUAAUUUGCUACAAUCAAGAAAAUGUUGGUUUAAGCACAACUAAUUAAGUGUAUUUUUAAUCUGAUUUAAGAGUUAAGGGUGAAUUAUGAGUAGGAGUAAUGAUAAGUGAUAAAAGUAACAUAUUUUAAUCUCGUUCUUAAUGCGUUUUUGGAUGAUUAUUUAUGCAAAUUGGUGAAUUUUAUGCUCAUGAUCCUUUAAAUUCAUGUUUUUAUACUUAGGAGAGCAUUUGGGAGCGAAAAACAAGUAAAAAUCAGACAAAUAGAGCAUAUUUCAGGAGCCACAUAGGCUAGACACACGAUCAUGUAAGCCACACAGGCUGGCACACGACCAUGUGCCAGACUGUGUCAAUUAUGCGAUUUGUAUCCCAAACAUGUGGAAAAAUGCAAUUUUUAGGCUUUCGUGGCGUUCUAAAGUCUAUAAAUACCAAAUAUAAUAUGAAAAGUGGGGAGAUCAGAGAGUAUUGAAGGAAACAACUCGAAGAACACCAUUGAAGCCAACUUUGAAGUAGAUUUCUAUCAAGAUUGAAGAUCUACUUUUAAUUUCUUUGAAGUUUUUAUGAGUUUCUUUAUCUCUUAUGGUUAUAUUGACUUUGAGAUUGUAACACCCCUAAAAUUUCUACAGUAAGAAAGUAAGAUAAUAGCUAUGAUAUAGUAAAAUAAGGAAAUAAAGUGAUAAAAAGGGUAAUUUUGAGAUUUGAUGGCAUGAUGUUGAUGAAAGCCAUAUCUGAUCGACAUUGGACUGAUUGUAUAAAGAGACGCAGAUGCUGCUACUCCCAUCCUUUGCUCUUCCAAAUAGACAUUAGCACGCGUUGGGCUUUAGGACCGGGUGUAAAGGGUGGACCUGUUGGUUCGGGUUUUAGUUUAGCCCGACACUUAUUUUUAUACUAGUUUAUUUAUCCUUUCAAUGAUAGUUUUAUUAAUUUCAAAAAUAUGGUUGAAUUAAGUAAUAAUAUGAUAAAAAUAAUAAAAAUAUAUGAAAGAAAUGAUGCCUUACAAUGUGGUGUGGUUUUUAGUAUUGGCAAACAAUCUAAAACAUUAGAAAGAAAUAUGUGACCUUAAUAAAAAAAAAUCAAUUCUCUUAUUGUAAAACAUUUAUAAGAAUUUAUUCAAGGGGCAAUUCUAUCAUUGUAAAACAUUUAAAAGAAUUUAUUUAAGGGAAAGGAUGGUAUGAAACUGUGAUUUCAUGUUAUCUCUAUCCCUUCCUAAUAGGAGGAGAAUGACAAAUUAAAUUUUUAUUCAUUGAUUUGUCUGAUUUGUAGCAUUUUUAAUUGGGUUUGAAUUUUUUCAAGAAUUGAAAAAAAAACUUUUGAAAUUGAAAUUAGUUUUUUCAAAGAAUUAAAAAAUUGUUAAUAAUGUAAGACAUCUCCUCAGUCUCAUUUAUCUUUGAUAAUUUCAAUUAAAUCUAAAAAAAAUAUUGAUGUGGAAAUUUAAAUAUGUUUCUUUCAAAGAAAUUACUAAGAAGAGGAAAACUAAACAUUAUAUCAUCAAAAUUUCCACAACUUGUGCCCAUCAAUCCAUCUCAACUACCUAAGAAACUUGCUAAACAUUGUUUUGAUGGGGUAGAAAAGAUUUAGACAUUUGCAUGCAGUGCCAAAUGGCUAAGACUAAGUCCAAUAAUAUCUCAUUCCAUGAUUUUCUAUUGAUUCCAUACACUUUAAGUUCAUUGAAAAGUCAUCAAAGUUAUGAGAAAAUUUAGUCUUUGAGCCAUCAAUCUAUCUCAAUCAGUUAAAAAAAUCACCACAAUUCCAUUUUUUUUAUUAAUUGACUAAAAUAAAAUUAGUGGUACAACAUUAUUUUGAUGUAGUAGUGAUCGGGCUUACUCCAAAAUUAAAAAUAAUGUAUGGAAAGUACAAAUUUGUGUAUAAAUAAGUUGUAUGCAUGGAAAUAAUCCUCCUUCACAGCCAGCAAACAUGAAAGCCAUAUCUGAUGGACAUUGUACUUGUUGACACUAUUUUUUUUGAUAGAAACGGGGUCGACUUAGAUUUUGAAAAUAAAAACGAAAACCGGAGUCGCCACCAAUCUUUUUUUUUGAUGAGGUGUGAUCGAGUCACCUCGAAAAGUGGUUGUUUUUAAUAAAUGAUUUGAUUUUAUUAAAACAACGAUUUUGGUCCACAAAAUUCAGAAAAACGAGUUCGGGAGUCGAUUACAUACGAGGAAAGAUUAGCACCCUCGUAACGCCCAAAAUUGGUACCUAGUUGAUUAAUUAAUGUCUUAGUGUCGAAAAUUGAAAACUUUGAAGAAUUUUAAAAAUACGAUCCUUGUAUUGAAACGUUGAAAAUUUUCGAAAAAAAGGCAUAUUUCGUGUUAAUCGAGAAAGAGAAUCAUAUCCAGUAAGUUAGGACACAAUGUCUCGAUUUCCCGAUUCGUGAAUGAAUGCUAAAAAAUUUACUUAUUUAAAAGAUAUUUAGCUAUCUCGGGUUAAAAAAGAGAUCAUGCCCAGUAAGUUAGGACACGAUCUUUUCUUAGUUCUUGAGAUCAUCUAAAACUUAAGUUUGAAAAGAUUCGUAUAUUUAAAUUUAUUGCGAAAAUCGAAACCCAGUUAGUUAGGGUAUGACUUUCUUAAAUCUAAACAUGAAAUUUUGCUUAUUUUAAAAUUGUAAAUCACAAUGUUAAUAUGGGUAGCAAAACAAUAAUAAAUACGACGAUGUAAACAUAACACGAAUAACCACAACAAAUUGAUAAAUAAAUAAAUAAAUAAAUGUCAAAACAAUUAUACAUGAAGUAAUAGACAACUAGGGCUAACAUCUCAUAAAAAUAAUGAUGAACACAUAAAUAAAGAUAAAGCAAUAAUAACAACACAAAAAUAAAUAAAAUUGUAAAAAGUAAAAAUCUAUGUAUAUAUAUAUAUAACAAAGUUUAAAAUGUAAGAAAAGAUAUUAAUAAAUAAAUAAUAAUAUAUAAUAAUAUAUUAACAUUAAUCUAAAGUUUUAAAAAGAAAUGAAAAAAAACAUAUAAAUAAUUAUAUAAUAAUAUAUAAUAAGACAAAUAUAAAUAAGUAAAUAUAAAUAAAAUAUAGUAAUUGUAAUACUUUGAAGGUAUAAAGGGACAUAAAUAAUAAGUAAUAAAAUGAUAUAAUAAGAGAACUAUAUACACAAAGAAAAAACAUAUAUAUAUAAUAAAAAGCUAAAAAAUAAUACAAAACUAAUUAAUAUGUUAAUACGAAAAAAUAAAAGGAAAAUAAAACUAAUAAAUAACAACAAAAAUAAUAAUAUCAUAUUAUUAGUUUUAAUAAUAAAAUAACUUAAAUACAAACAGAGGACUAAAUUGAAACUAAACAAAACCCUAGGGCCGAAAUUGAAAAUGAAGAACAUAAAAAGGACUAAAUCGUGAUGAGCGCGAAAAGAGGGGGACCAAAAAGGAAAUUUAUCCAUGCCUUUAAAACGGACGGCUUCAGUGGGGACUAAAUCGAAAAUGUGAUAAAUUUAUGGGGUAAAAUUAAAAACAACAAACACACUUAAUUGAAAAAUCAUUAAAAAUCGGAAGGGCUAAAGGUGCAAUUAUCCCUUCCAAUAAAAACACGCGGAUCCUACUGGAGCGGGUCGGGUCGACCAACGGGUCAGAUCAAAACGGCGCCGUUUUGGUGCUUGACAAGGCUGCCCAAAACGACGUCGUUCUGGAAGCCUAUUUAAGCCAAGUUUUUUUUCAAAACACUUCACUUUCAGCCCUCUUUCUAAAAAAAAAAUUUCGUUCUCUCAAAAUCUCUCACCUCUCCAAUGUCCGGCCUAGAAUCCGACGAUGAGAGCCGCCGUCGACGCCGUCGCGCUGGCAACCGUACACGAUGGCCGAAAAAUUAAAAAAAGGUAUUUUUUGCUUUUUGUUAUGUUUAUACAUUAUAUAUAUAGUUAAAAAAAUAAAAGAAACAAAAUCGAAUAGAAAUAGUUUCGAAAGGAAGAAAAAAAUAAAGAGAAAAGUAAAAAUAAAAAAAGGAACUUAGAUCUUAUACCGAAAAAAAGGUUUCUUGAAUCUAUUUUUUUGUUACAAAAACGAAAGAGGAGACCCCCCGUUACAAUGGCUUCAAUCGAUUUUUAUACCGAUUUCAAAACAAAAAUCCCCCUCCUCUCCUUCGGUUACAAAAAUGGCUUAUUUUAUAUAACCUUUUCCAAGCUUUUUUUUUAUUUUUGCUGUCUUUUCUUCUUGUAGAUGACAGUGCAAGUGGAGCGACGACGGGACCGGUGCGGCGCUGGUCAGAGGCGGCGGUGGCAGGGCAAGUGGGGCUAUGUGCGGCGGCUAGGGUUAGGGGGCUAGGGUUUUCUUUUGUUUUUUUCUAAAAAUGGGUAUUGGGUUUUUAGAUUUUGGGCUGUGGGUUAGUUUGGGCUUGUUUUUGGGUCUGUUAUUGGGCUGGUUUUGUUUUAAUUUUUUUUUGCUUUUUUUAUGUUUAAGGCCCGGGUAAAAUUGGGCUUGUACAGUACUGAUUGUGUAAAGAGACACAGCUGCUGCUGCUACUCCCAUCUUUUGCUGGCAUAUUGGGUUUUUAUUUUAUCAAACACAUGUUGGGUUUUUGUAUAGCCUCGAACUUAUUUUGUACUUUCGCAGAAAUUGUGUGGUCAUCAUAAUUUUCACUCCAUAUCCCCAUCAAUCCAUCUCAAGAGCAACCCAACUACGGUUGGUCAAAAUUAGAAGGGAAAUUACCAAGAUCAUGGGUGAAAUGCAUUCAUCUUAGAACUUAUACGUGUUGGUUGUUAAACCUCAACAAACCAGCAAAUACCAUAAUUUUUGUUCUUAUCGUCCAUUGCAGCACCUAUGGGUUUCUUCAUCUUUAAUUUUGCUGUUAAGAAAUGCUCUUGAGAAGGAAUAGAUUCAAAGAAGAAGAAGGGAAGAGUCGAGAGAGAAAGAGCUUAAAAGCAGAGAAACUAAAAUCCAGUAUUCAAUUUUCAUGCCCAACCUCCUUUCUGUUACACGUAAAAUAGUAGGUCCAUAACCGACAUCUACUAAACGCACCCGUUUUGUUCAAUACAAAACUCACCGUAUUACUAAACGUCUCAACUAAAACGCAUCACUUAAACUAAUUAUUAUAAACCACGUAAAAAUAAUAGAACCUGCAUGAAAACCAUAACAAUUUUCCCCCUUAAAAGAAAUCAUUGUCCUCAAGGAUCAAAGGUAGGGAACCUGUGUUGCAACUCAGAUAGCUUUUCCUAAGAAGCAUCCUCCGGAAAAGUGUCUGCCCAUUCAACCAAUACUUCCACUGCAGCAUGAUUGCCUUGUCGAACCAUUCUCCUAUCCAACACCCGCACCGGAGACUUAAGAAGAGCACCAUCCGAAGCAACUAGUGGUAGCGUUAGAGCACUCACUGCUGAACCAAUAUGCUUCUUUAACUCGGAAACAUGGAAAGUGUGAUGAAUUCAACCUGAAACGGGCAAUGUGAACUUAUUAGCCACCUGGCCUACUCGAGCUUCCACAGGAAAAGGGCCAUAAUACCGAGGUGACAAUUUUUGGUUCCUGAACUUGCACAAGGUGUGUUGGCGAUAAGGCUGAAGCUUCAAAUAGACUAAGUUACCCACCUGAAACUCCCGUUCUGUUCUUUUUCUGUCAGCCAUUUGUUUCAUUCUGUCUUGAGCUCGAGACAAGUGGAAUUUAAGAACCUUGCGCAUAACCUCCCUAUGCUGUAAGGUGCGGUCUACUGAAGCUACUGGAGAUGCACCAACCACAUAAGGAAGAUGGAUAGGUUGGGGUUGUCCAUAAAGAGCCUCAUAAGGCGUUGUGUGAAUUGCUGAAUGGUAUGUUGUGUUAUACCACCACUCCGCCAGUGGCAACCACGAUAACCAUGCUGAGGGUUUUUCCCCAACCAUGCAGCGCAAGUAUCCCUCCAAGCACCUAUUUAACACCUCAUUCUGUCCAUCUGUUUGGGGGUGAUAAGCUGUAGAUUUCUUCAACUUGGUUCCCAUAUGUUUGAACAACUCUUGCCAAAAUUAACUCAAGAAAAUUUUAUCCCUAUCGGAAACAAUGCUCUCCGGAAUCCCAUGAAGCUUGUAAAUAUGCCUGAGAUAUUCCUGUGCCACUGUAAGAGCCGAGAAAGGGUGAGCAAGUGCUAGAAAAUGACCGUACUUGGUCAACCGGUCAACUAUGACCAAGAUGGUUGAUUUUCCUUGAGAAAGGGGCAGUCCCUCAGUGAAAUCCAUACUGAUAUUAGACCAAACUCGUUCAGAAAUAGGCAACGGUUGCAACAGACCAGGUGAGGCCGCAUUGUCUGAUUUACAUCUUUGACACGUCACACACUCGCGAACCCAAGCGUGGACAUCUUUGGAAAGGCCCUUCCAGUACAAUAUAGCCGAUAUUCUCUGGCGAUUUGCAUGGACUCCAGAGUGGCCUCCCAAGGGUGAGUUGUAAAAUAUGUCAAAAAUCUGCUUUCGCAGUGUUGCAUCCUUUCCAACCACGACUUUGUUUUUCCUACCCAAAAAAAUGUCAUGCCAUGAAUAUUUGGGAUGCAACAGUGGCUGCGCACGUACCUGCUCACAAAGUCACGCAAGCUUCUGAUCGCUUUCAUACAACCCUACAACCCUAUCCCAAAUCGUAGCCCAAUCGGACUCCACAUUACCCUCACAUUGCAACAACUGAGGCUCCCAUUCUGAAGAUUUCCUGGAUAAAUUAUCUGCCACUGUGUUCUGCGCUCCUUUCCGGUACAUAAUGGAAUAAUCAUAACCAAGCAUCUUAGCCACCCACUUUUGUUGAUAGGGCGUAAUGGCUUGUUGCUCUGACAGAAAUUUCAAACUCUGAUGAUCCGUUUUAAUUACAAAGGGUCUACCCACAAGAUAAGAGUGCCAUUUUUUACUACUAGUAGCACUGCCAUCAUCUCCUUAUCAUAGAUGGACAAAGCCUAGUAUUUCACUCCCAAAGCCUUACUAAAGAAGGUAAUUGGCUUUCCCUUUUGUUGAAGAACAGCGCCCACUCCUUGGCCACUAGCAUCGGUUUCAACACAAAAUUGCUCCUAAAAGUUCGGCAAGGUUAGAAUUGGAGCUUGACAAAUAGCUGACUUGAGUUGCUCGAACGCUCGUUGUGUCUGUUCGGUCCACUCCCAUAAAACCCCCUUACGUAAGAGAACAGUCAGCGGAUUGGCUAUCAACCCGUACCCUCUUAUAAACCUUCUGUAAUAACCCGACAAGCCAAUGAAUCCUCGUAGUUCUUUAACUGAUUUUAGAGGAGGCCAGUCCAAUACACUCAUCACCUUUGAUCGAUCCAUGCUAACAGUACCCUGAGCAAUGAUGUGGCCUAAAUAUUCCACAUGUAUAGCUCCAAAACUACAUUUAGACCUCUUGGCAAACAGCUGAUUUUCUCGAAGCACCCGCAAAACCUCUCGUAAAUGAUCCAAAUGAUCAGACCAACCUCUCGAAUAAACAAGGAUAUCGUCAAAAAAUACCAACACUGAUCGUCUUAACAUAGAUCGGAAAACUGAAUUCAUCAAGGCCUGAAAACUCGAGAGUGCAUUGGUCAAGCCAAAUGGCAUGACCAAGAACUCGUAGUGGCCCUCAUGGGUUCGAAACGCCAUCUUGAAAAUGUCCCGCUCAUUCAUUCUGAUCUGGUGAUAACCAGAGCGCAGGUCCAAUUUAGAGAAAAACUGUGCUUGUCCUAAUUCGUCUAACAGCUCCUCAAUGAUGGGAAUAGGGAAUCUGUCUUUCACCGUAAGCUGAUUUAACUGUCUGUAGUCGACACAAAGAAGCCAGCUCCCAUCCUUCUUUUUGACCAUAACCACUGGAGAAGCAAAAGGACUGUUGCUGUCUCGAAUACUUCCAGCCUGUAACAUUUCUCGGACUAGUUUCUCAAUUUCGGUCUUCUGUACUAUGGGAUACCGAUAAGGUCGUAUUUUCACCACCUUCGAUUCAUCCACUAACGGAAUCUUGUGGUCAUGAAAUCUCGGAGGUGGUAAGUGGGUGGAGACCUAAAAAACAUCUUCGAAAUCGGCAAGCAAUUUUUGUAACUCAGGGAGUGAAGACUCUGAAUUCAACUCAAUCACAGUCUGGUCACAAGAAGUUAACAGCAUCGGACAAGGCCCAAAACCCGCCAAACUCAAACAUUUAGAAAACUGACCACUCGAAACAAUCUGCAUUGGCCCCGGAACAGUACCCUGUAAUCUGUAUUUUUGGGUUUUAAGCUGGAAUUGCAUAGUCAACUAUGCAAAGUCCCAUACAAUCGGCCCUAAUGACAGCAACCAUUGAACUCUCAAAACUAAGUCAAACCCUUUGACCGCGAGUACUAAAAAAUCAGUGGUGAAUUAAUUUCCCUGAGCCUCCCAACCUACUGCCUUACAUACUCCUUAAGUGGUCAAUUUGACACCAUUUGCUAUCAUCACCUUUAAGGUAGGUCCCAAUUCAAUGACCAACCAUAACUGUUUAGCGACCCAAAAAUCGAUGAAAUUAUGCGUGCUGCCUGAAUCGACCAAAACUACCACUUCAACUUGGUCGAUCAUGGCCGGAAAUCUCAUGGUGUUGAGACCUUGUGAGCCGUGCAAAGCAUGCAAAGAUAACAUCGAAAUAGAGUUACCCGACCCCAAGUCCAUAGAUUCUAACUGGUCGGAACAGUCCUGGAAAUCAUCUGAAGACGAACUCCUUGCUUCAGAAUGACUGUCUUCCCAUGGCUCCACCACUAAUUGAUACACCUGGGAUUUAGAACACUUGUGACCAGGAGAAUACUUGAGACCACACCAAAAACAAAGACCUUUCUUUCUCCGAUCUUCCAACUCUGCCUGCGAUAAAGAUUUGGAAGGUAUUUUCAUGCUGCCUCUUCCAGUUACUGACUCAUUUGUGGAGUUAGAACCAUUAGGUCCUCUAAAAUUUCUUGCUAGAGGUAACAACGGUCUACCUACAUUCGCUACUGCUGGUGGCGUAUUCUUACGCUUAACUAAACCAAACACAAUAUUUUCCACUUGUCGAGCUAAGUUGAAUCCUUCUACUAACGAUUGAGGCUUAAACAAUCGGAGAUAUUGGCAUAUCUCAGGCUUAAGAUUACUGAGAAAUAUACUCAGGGCAUACAUUUCAGGCAAGUUAAGCUGAUUCAGCAAACUCAAGAAUCCAUCAUGGUACUGAUGUUUGCUUAAGGGUCACUAACUCCCCUAUUGGAUCAAGAAAAGAAUCUGACCCGAAUCAUUCUCUCAACCCUCUAGCAUACAUUUCCCAUGACAGUUGAUACAACCCUCCAUGUUUUCUAGCAAAGAAAUGAUGCCAUUCAAGGGCUUUACCUUCCAAAUGCAGCAUCACAAGUCGAACCUUAGCGUAGUCCUCGAUCUCUUCUGCCUCGAAGUAUUGCUCAAGUUUGGACCACCAUCCACGGAAGUUGUCGCUGGUGAACAUCAGACAUGGCAUUCGGAAAGGUCUGCAAUCCGUUUCUACAGGCAUUCCCCGAGACAAGGAAGGAUAAUGACCCAAAUCCAUCAUCGGAGACACGAGCACAUGCUCCUGUAGGGGAAAUCCCGGCGGAGAUCCCAGAAUACCCUUUCCUUUGCUACUACCCGCACAUCCCACGGCCACUGGGGGAUCUUGACCAAAAUAUUGCUCAAACAGAGUGUGCAGUUCAGUCCGAAGCUCGGUAUGUACCUCUGAUUUAAUAUCUUCCUGUAGUCCUUUCAAACGAGCAUCAAACUGAGAAAACUCCGAUUGGAUGUGAGAAAGUUCACCUUGGAUCUGACCCAACUCCUUUUGCAUCCUCGUGGUGACGCCGUCGUCGGUCAUGAGGAUCGAAUGGCUCUGAUACCUUUGUUAAGAAAUGCUCUUGAGAAGGAAUAGAUUCAAAGAAGAAGAAGAGAAGAGUUGAGAGAGAAAGAGCUUAGAAGCAGAGAAACUAAAAUCCAGUAUUCAAUUUUCAUGCCCAACCUCCUUUCUGUUACACGUAAAAUAGUAGGUCCAUAACCGACAUCUACUAAACGCACCCGUUUUGUUCAAUACAAAACUCACCGUAUUACUAAACGUCUUAACUAAAACGCAGCACUUAAACUAAUUAUUAUAAACCACGUAAAUAUAAUAGAACCUACAUGAAAACCAUAACAUCUGCUAAAGAAGACGGCAUUUUUAUAGCUUCAAUUGUUUUAUCAAACCCAUAGUCCUCAUCUUUUACAAUCUUCUUCACCACUCUCCCUACUUCCUUCUUUAACUUUGUUUUUUCCCUUGUUUCUACUGACUCCUUUUUUUCAGCGUUGAAACAAAAUGGUAGCUUCUUUAGGAACAGAAAGGAACAAGAUUUUGAUACCCAAUGAAGAGAAACAAAGAUGAAAUCUUUCUAAGAAGACUAUGAAAAAGAAAAAAGGUUGAAAAAGGAGUCUUGAAAUUUUUAAGUAGUUUUUUUUGAAAGAAAUGAAAAGCGUCCAACACAUCCCCACUAAUUCAUUUUUCGUUUAGUUUAGUGAUUUCAAUUAAACCAAGAAAGUUUAAAAAGUUCAAUCUUUUUCAAAUUGUGUUGAAAUUGCACUGCUUCUCUAAUACUUGAUUUAUAUAUUUCUGUGGUUUUUAAUGAAACUAGCAACCCUGGCAAUCGGGUUAUUUAAGAGUACAAUCGUCUAGGAUUAGAAGUGGCUUAAAAAUAUAUAUUUUUUCAGUUAUUAAUGUAAGAAAAAAAAUUUAAAGUAAAAUAAAUUAAUUAAAUACAUAGAGUUUUCAAUUUUUCACUAUAAAUAUUUUAUCUCCUAGACCGCAAAAUAUGUUCAGCUUUAUUGCAUUACAUUUUAUAUAAUUUAAAAAAAAACCUAAUUUAUUAUUUGCCUAAAACCCAAAAUUAUUAAGAACCAACCUGAAAAUUAGUAGAACAUAAUUAAGUAAUGACCGGACAAUAGGAGUCAUUUGCAAGUAUGCACGCCAAGACUAAGUCAAAUACUCCAUUUGAUAAAAACCCAUGCAUACUAUCGUUUCUCUGUUAGUUCUACACUAAAAACAUAUAAUUUCCAAAAUAAAUCUAUGAGCUUUAUCUCUAAAUACAUUGUGUUGUUAUACAGUCAAUGUUGAGCUUUGUGGAGUUUAGGAGGGAUUUUAGAUUACUUAGAGAUAAGUUUUCAAUGGAUUGUGCUUGAGACGAAUAAUAUGAUUGCAAUCUAAUUGAUUCAAGAUGAUCAGUUGAGUUCCACCAUUCAGUUGUGUUACGAACUAUUAAAGAAAUUAUUCAACGUCUUUGGAUGAUUAAGGUGACACAUGUAUUCAAAUAAGGUAACUGAGUAGUCGAUGGACCGAAAGCAAUGAUAUUUUCAAGGCGUCUAGGCAUGUAUAGUUAUAUGCAACCCUUGGAUAAAAUUCUUCAAAAGUUAUAUAAUUAUUGCUCUGGAAUGACCUGACCCGACUUAAUCCAAUUAUGAUUUUGCCUUUGUUCAUGAAAAAAAAAAGAAAGACAAUAAAUUUAAAUAAGUGAAGAGAAAAUAAAAAUUAAUUAUGUAAAUCACCGAUAAAAAGAAUCUAAUUUUGGACUUAAAAAACUAUAUGGUGGUUGCAUUUCAAUUGGUUGGACAAACUUUGAAAGUGUAAAGGAUUGAAAAGUAGCUAAUAUUAUAAGACAUUUCAACUACUCUGUGAUCAUCAUUUUCAAUCAACCCAAAAUAUAAAUUUUAGAAUUUUUAUGAAUAUUUUAAAGUUUUAUUGAGAGAUAAAAUUUUUAAGUUUCAAAAUUAAUAGGGAUCAAAUGAGUAUGUAUACCAAUCUGUUGUAUGAAUUAUUCAAAUUAUUCGAGUUAUUCAAAUUUUAAAAUUUAACUCGAAACUUGACUUAUAAAUAUUUUUAUGUUUUAUAUUUAAUAAUAUAAAACAUAAAAAAUAUUUAAAUUAAAUAAAAAUUAAAAAUAAUGUAAAAAUCAAAGUCUUUCUCCAAACUUCACCCAAAAACACUUUAAGAAAAUUUCCACUCCUUGUGUCCAUCGAUCCAUCUCAACCAGCUAACAAAUUUACUAUAAUUUUGUCUUUAUAAUAUGACUUUAGACAUUUUUGUGCAAUCAAAAUUUAGACAUUUGCAUGCAACGCCAAAGACUUAAGAUAUUUCAUACUAUCAUUUUUCCCGAUCCAAAGUUAAAGAUAUUAAAAAUUUCAAAUUAGAACAUUAUUUAUAAUUUGAGAACUUAAUUAGAAUAUUAUGAAAUCUAGAAACUUAAUUUAAAAUUCGAUGUAUAAUUUUGAGAUGUAAGGUGAAUUAUGCCUUUAAUAAAUCAUAACAUAUUUAUAAUUUCGAUACUCAUUAACAAAUUGAAUUUAUAUUAUAAGUUAAUUUUUAAUUAUUUUUGGUGCUAUAACAAAAUUUCCUUAAAAGAUUACAUUGUAAUUUUUUUAUUUAAAAAAUUAAAUGAUGUAGAAAUAAUUAUGUAUAACAUAAAAAAUGUAAAGUUUGGCUGAGUUUAAAAUAUUUGUAACAUAAAUUUUUUCUACAAAGUCCAUACUUAAAAUAUAUAAUUUAAACUCAAAAUAUCGGUUGAUUAUCAUCUUUGCUUAUUUUAUGCGUAGUGAUGGUUCUAAUAAGAUUUAAAGUACAUUAUUAUUGCUAUAAAUUUGUCUUUUUAAAUGACUUAGAUAUAUAGACUAAGGAGUACUGGGCAAGAAAACUAAACCCUUAGCAUUAAUAAGAAAAAUGACAUCAAUAAUAUAUUAAAAUCUCAUUCUUCAAAAUUAAGUGUGAAUUUAACAACUUAUUUCUAAUACUAAUAAUAAAUGAUUUAUGCUUUAAAUAAUGAUAAUUAUUAUUAUUAUCCCUUGACGGAAAAAGGUUGACCAAAAAGACUUAACUGAAGUGGUGGAACAGCAUUUUGAUGGAGUCUUGAUUUGGCAAAAUGACUUACAAAUUGCAUGCAAUAUUGUUCUAUAGAAACUACACAUUUGUGUAUAAAUAUGUUGUAUGCCAGCCACAAUCCUCCUUCAGACCCACUCAACAUGAACACUCUUCAUUCCCUUAUUUCUUCACUCUUUCUCUCCUCAUGCUUCCUUCCUCUUCUCUUUUCUUUUUCACCUCCUCAAACUCAUCUCCCAAUGCAAUGCCUUGAUGACCACAGAGCUCCUCUGCUGCAAUUGCAGCAUCAUCUUUACUAUGCCCCUAAUUUUACUUUCUCUUCCAAUUUUGACCUCUGGAAUGUCAACACUGAUUGUUGUUCUUGGGAAGGAGUCACUUGUGAUGCUUAUGGUCAUAUCGUUGGCAUUGAUCUUAGUUACAAAAACCUUUCGGGCAGCUUUCACCCCAUAUUCAAUCUCCAUCGUCUUCAACGCCUUAAUCUUGCUGGAAACAACUUUAAUACCACUCUGUUUUCCUAUGGGUUUGAUAAACUCCAAAAUCUAACUCAUCUCAACCUUUCAAGCUCAUGUUUCCAUGGCCAAAUUCCAGUGGAGAUCUCAUUCCUAAAAAGGUUAGUCUCUCUUGAUCUGUCCAAUCAAGAUUCUUGUUGUUUCCGAUACUACACCAUUCUUGACCCAUACUUCUUCUAUUUUCCAUUGCCUUGCGAACUUCAACAGCCUCUUAAAUUAGAGAAUCCAAACUUCAAGACAUUAAUCAAGAAUUUGAGGUUUCUCACAGACCUUUAUUUGGAUGGGGUAAACAUUUCAACUCAAAGUGCUAAAUGGUGUGAAACCACAUCUCUUGUACUUUCCAACCUGCGUGUGUUGAGUCUGUCAAACUGUGGCUUGAAAGGUCCAUUAUGUUCUUCACUCUCAAGACUCCCUUUUCUUUCCAAACUUAUCCUUGAUGGGAACCCAAUCUCUUAUUUACCUCCCAAUUUCUUGGAAAUUUCCUCUCGUUUGGUUUCUCUCAGUUUGAGGUACUGUAAUUUGAGUGGCCAUUUUCCAACUGAAAUUCUCUUAUCGCCAAAAAUUCAAAGCAUUGACAUUUCAGCUAAUGACCAACUUAUGGGUCAGUUGCCAGAAUUUCCAGCAAACAAUGCUUUACAGAGUUUCUCGCUUUAUUUAACAAAUUUUAGUGGAAAACUACCUCAAUCAAUUGGUAAUCUCAAGUUCUUGACAGAUUUAGAGCUUAAUUAUUGCAAUUUUUUUGGACCCAUUCCAUCGUCAAUUGCAAAUCUUAGUCACCUGGUGAAACUACAUCUCGAAGGGAACAAGCUUUCUAGAUCAAUACAUUCUUCUUUAUUUACUCUUCCAUCGUUGAAGAUCUUGUAUCUUGGAGAAAAUCAAUUGGUUGGGAAAAUUGAUGAGUUCCCCAAUGCAUCUUCUUCUUUGAUUCAAGAAUUACAUAUAGGCAAUAAUUAUUUAACAGGACCAAUCCCGAAGUCAAUCCUCCAACUUCCAAAACCUGAAUUGCUUCAUAUCAGAGGCAAUAGCUUCAGUUGCAUGAAGCUUGACAUGUUUGUCCAACUCAACAACUUAAGGACUCUCUUGCUAGACAAUAUAAGCUUGUUAAUGGAAAGCGACAACAGAAGUCUUACUUUUCCCCAGUUAGGGAGCCUAAUGCUAAGGUCAUGCAACCUUACUGAAUUUCCAGAAUUCAUUAAAAGGCAAGACAAGUUGGUUCACUUAGAUCUUUCUAACAAUCAUAUCCAUGGUGUUGUGCCUAAUUGGUUGUUGAAGAGCAGUCUUUCAUCCUUACACCUUUCUUUCAAUGUGAUUGAUUUUCCAAAAAAACUUCCUUUAAGUGAUGCAAACUUCUCUUUCCCAGUGUUGAGGGGAUUGUCUCUGGGAUCUUGUAACAUAAGUGCAUUUCCGGAGUUCUUAAAGAGUCAAGAAAAUUUAGGAUAUCUCGUACUUUCAAAUAAUAAAAUAAGUGGUGCAAUACCAAACUGGGUGUGGAAGAAAAGUUUGCGGUAUCUGUUUCUUGCUAAUAACCAUCUCUCAUCUUUGGACCAACUUUUACCCAAUCAGAGUUCAACUUCUUCGCAAACCUCCUUGACUAGACCUAUUUGCAAUUUGAGUCAAAUUAAGGUUUUCAAUGCAUCUCAUAACAAUUUGAGCGGCAUGAUUCCAAAUUGCUUAGGCAAAAUGAAUGAUCUCUAUUUGUUGGAUCUGCAAGGAAAUAACUUCAGUGGAAUGUUACCAAAAUUUUCAAAAGCAACCCAAUUAUCUAUUCUCAAAGUUAGUGAGAAUAAAUUGGAAGGGAAGUUGCCUAGAUCAUUAGUGGAAUGCACUCUGCUUGAAGUUUUGGACGUGGGAAACAACAUGAUGAAUGAUACAUUCCCUUUUUGGUUGCAGAAAUUGCCUUACUUGACGGUUCUAAUAUUGCGGGAAAACAAAUUUUAUGGUCAAAUUAAACAUUUCAAACAUAAAUUUGUUUUCCCAAAUUUGGAUGUGUUGGACAUUGCUUCAAACCAGUUUUCUGGUGAACUAUCCAUUAAUUUCCUUCAAGCCACUCGACUAAGGUCACUCAAAAUAGGUGGGAAUAAAUUGGAAGGGAAGUUGUCGAGAUCUUUAGCCAAUUGUAAAGCACUUGAGGUUCUGGACCUUGGAAAUAAUAUGGUUCAUAAUACAUUCCCAUUUUGGUUAGAGAAGCUGCCUUCCUUGAAGGUUCUCAUUUUGCGAGCAAACAGAUUCUACGGCACAAUUACAGAAUUCAACACAGAACGUAGGUUUCCAAAGCUACGCAUAUUGGACAUUGGUUCCAACAAUUUUUCAGGCAACUUUUCCAUUGAAUUUUUGCAAAGCUUGAAGGCAAUGAUGCAGUUAACAAAUGACGACAAAGCUAAGCUGGAUUACAUUGGAGAGUAUUAUUAUCAAGAUUCAGUAACAAUUUUCAACAAAGGGUUUGAAAUGUUCUACCAAAAAGUCUUGACAAUUCUUACUUGUCUCGACCUUUCCAACAAUAGUUUCCAUGGGAGAAUACCAGAAGAAAUACAAAUGCUGAGGUCACUCAAAGUGCUAAACUUGUCCUAUAAUAGCUUCUCCGGUGAAAUCCCAGUAGCACUUGAAAACCUAAAAGAUCUCGAGUCUUUGGAUCU